rnacentral:rRNA from 1 species
UACGUAGGGGGCGAGCGUUGUCCGGAAUGAUUGGGCGUAAAGGGCGUGUAGGCGGCCUGGUAAGUCUGGAGUGAAAUUCCUGUUUUCAAGAUAGGAACUGCUUUGGAUACUGUCGGGCUCGAGUGCGGGAGAGGUUAUCGGAAUUCCCGGUGUAGCGGUGAAAUGCGUAGAGAUCGGGAGGAACACCAGUGGCGAAGGCGGGUAACUGGACCGCAACUGACGCUGAGGCGCGAAAGUGUGGGGAGCAAAC